AAUAUAUAACCAUUUGUACCGUAGACAGUAGGUGUCCUUAGGACUUAAUAUCCUGCCGAGGUCAUUGCGAUAAAAAGAUUCUAUCUUUUUCUUGACGUGAUACGCCUCUAUGUCUACUUUGGAUAUAGAGGCUUUUUAGUGAUCGA
rfam:Jeotgalibacillus soli Cunha et al. 2012 strain P9 contig00005, whole genome shotgun sequence.